UACGGAGGGAGCUAGCGUUAUUCGGGAUUACUGGGCGUAAAGCGCACGUAGGCGGCUUUGUAAGUUAGAGGUGAAAGCCUGGAGCUCAACUCCAGAAUUGCCUUUAAGACUGCAUCGCUUGAAUCCAGGAGAGGUGAGUGGAAUUCCGAGUGUAGAGGUGAAAUUCGUAGAUAUUCGGAAGAACACCAGUGGCGAAGGCGGCUCACUGGACUGGUAUUGACGCUGAGGUUCGAAAGCGUGGGGAGCAAACAGG
rnacentral:rRNA from 1 species